rnacentral:rRNA from 1 species
CCCUUAGGUGUUCUGGGCCGCACGCGCGCUACACUGAUGCAUUCAACAAGUUCUACCUUGGCCGAGAGGCCUGGGAAAUCUUUCAAAUAUGUAUCGUGAUAGGGAUAGAUUAUUGCAAUUAUUAAUCUUGAACGAGGAAUUCCUAGUAAAUGCAGAUCAUCAUUCUGCGUUGAUUACGUCCCUGCCCUUUGUACACACCGCCCGUCGCACCUACCGAUUGAAUGAUCCGGUGAAGCCUCGGGAUUGUGCCCAGAGAACUUUAUUGUGAUUUGGGUGUGAGAACUUGUCUAAACCUUAUCAUUUAGAGGAAGGUGAAGUCGUAACA